GACGAACGCUGGCGGCGUGCUUAACACAUGCAAGUCGAGCGGUAAGGCCCUUUCGGGGGUACGACGAGCGGCGAACGGGUGAGUAACACGUGGGUGACCUGCCCUCGGCUCUGGGAUAAGCCUGGGAAACCGGGUCUAAUACUGGAUAUGACUCCAUGACGCAUGUUGUGGGGUGGAAAGCCUUGUGCGGCUGAGGAUGGGCCCGCGGCCUAUCAGCUUGUUGGUGGGGUGAUGGCCUACCAAGGCGACGACGGGUAGCCGGCCUGAGAGGGCGACCGGCCACACUGGGACUGAGACACGGCCCAGACUCCUACGGGAGGCAGCAGUGGGGAAUCUUGCGCAAUGGGCGAAAGCCUGACGCAGCGACGCCGCGUGAGGGAUGACGGCCUCGGUGUAA
rnacentral:rRNA from 1 species